AUUGGUUUGGUCAAUAUUUGAAAAAGUCAAAAUAAUAAUCACGAUGAUUUAUUGACCAAGUUGCAUAUAUAUAUACUUACCUUUCCUAUAUGUUUGGUGAUCUUCCCGUCGUUUGACCCAGUUCCUUGAAAACCCCAGUAUUUCGGUGAUUUUCUUUUCAGUUCAAUAUUGAUUUUUGAAUUGGUAACCAUCUCUCCCAUCUCGCCUCCUUCCCUUAUAUGUAGCAUCUCACCGCCAUUUUUCUUCCCAUUCUCCAUAAACCCUAGCCACACUCCACCACCGCCACAACUCAAUUAUGUGCCUUAACAUCUAAAGAGCCGCCAAGGUCAGCUCUCUCUGUGUGUGUGUGUGUGUGCAUCCUCUAUUUCCAUCAUAAUACAAUGGUUAAAAACAAAAAACAAAAACCCAGAAUGAUACACAUAUUUUAAAUUAAUUGAAGAAUGAGAAUGUCAAGGUGUUUUGUGUUACGUGUUUGUGUGCGAGGUUAUCCAUGUAAGCCGAGAAUCUGCUUUUUCGUCCUUCUCCAUCCUGCUCUGCAACAGCUCUCUACCUUUUCUUCUUUGUGCAUUCUGUUUACUCGGAUUCACCAAGGAAGAUGAGUGGGGAUGUUUUUUAUGAUUUUGAUUAAACUAAAGUAGAGUUAUAUUACUUUGGAGCCCCUUUAUCACUCAGGUAAUAUAACAAAAGAAUGGGUUUGCUACAUACAAACGACAUUCUAACAUACUAUCACAUUCAAGUGGAUAAUAUGAUCCAUUAUCUUAAGGUAUGUUCCAUUUUAUUACUAAUGUGAUAUGUGAUAUUUAGUCGAAAUUACAUAAAUAAUUUGAUGGUUUCUUAAAAAACUAAAUGUUGGAAAUUCUAUGAUUUUUUGAAAAUUUUAGAUUUUUUCUACUGUUCUAACACUUUUAGCGAUUCUUUAUUUUCUAUUAAAUUGAUUCAUCAUCCAUAACCUGUCAUUUGUCUAUGGAGAUACAAAUCAGCUAUGGGUUUUUUUGUUGAUUCAAGCUGAGAUAAUAAUGGGCAAUUGCAAAUCUUUUGUACCUUCAACAAAGUAAGAGAUUGGUUCAUGAUUUGAUUAAAUUUAUUUUCAAUCAUUUGAAUAUUGAUUUAUUUAAAUCCCUGGUUCAUGAUUUUUUUUUUCAGUUUGCUUAAUUUCAUUUUAAGAUAUAGAUUAUGUAAUUUUUAGGUUUCCAAUUAUAAAAAGUCUUUUGAAAACUGGGUAAUAACCAAAGAAAUUCUUUUGUAUCAAUUUGGUUAUGUGUCUUCCAAGCUAGAUGAGUGCAUCAAAGGUUUUAAUGACAUAAAUUUGGAAUAAGUUUUCCCCACGAAGACCGAGAAGUAUAAGAGGACUUGAAUUGAGGUUUUAAUGGGCUCAAACUGGUAAAGACUUGAACAAAGAUUUAUACUUGAAGAUGAAGUUAUGAAUGGAGUAUCAAGCAACAAUAGGUCCCGAAAUGGACUAAAAUUCUAGAAGGGAAAAAAUGAAGUUAUGUAUACAAAGCAUGUCAAGAUAUUUCUAUCGUUGUAUAGGUGUUAAAUGUCAUAGGAAAGGAAAUGGUCUUGGUGGAAGAUGAGAAGGUGUUAAAGAGAAGACACAUUCAUCGCAAACACAAAAGGAAAUGGUCUUGGAUAUUUGGAAUUGAUCAAAUUGUUGGUAUAAAGGACAGGAAAGCAACAAACUUCGAACAUGAUCUGUGAUAAUUGGAAUUAAGAUACUUUCAACAAAAUAAAAUUCUCUUUUGUUGACUUUAAUUGUAUUAAAGUUCAUAAUUGAAUAAAGUUUUAAAUAUGUUGGUUGUAUUGAUUUAAUGGUUAAAAUUUUCAAUUUUUUAGGAAA